ensembl:lncRNA
GUAGUUAGUAUGGGUAGAUAGAAGUAUUUAGUAUGGGUAGAUAGUAGUAGUAUGGGUAGAUAGAAGUAGUUAGUAUGGGUAGAUAGUAGUAGUUAGUAUGGGUAGAUAGAAGUAGUUAUUAUGGAUAGAUAGUAGUAGUUAUUAUGGGUAGAUAGAAGUAGUAUGGGUAGAUAGAAGUAGUUAGUAUAGGUAGAUAGUAGUAGUUAGUAUGGGUAGAUAGAAGUAGUUAGUAUGGGUAGAUAGUAGUAGUUAGUAUAGGUAGAUAGUAGUAGUUAGUAUGGGUAGAUAGUAGUAGUUAGUAUAGGUAGAUAGUAGUAGUUAGUAUGGGUAGAUAGUAGUAGUUAGAAUGGGUAGAUAGAAG